GAGUUUGUUACAAGAACUCUUUAUCAAUCCCAACAGGUAACGGAAUUCCGGCUCGGAUUGCCGGGCGGCCCCGAUUUAUAGACCAACCGGCACCGGAUGAAGCCCAAAAAAAUCAGGGGCUGCUUGCGAAGGGAGCGAAUCUGUGAGGACGGUUCGUGGAACGACGGGACGAGAGCGCAUCCACAGCGGGGGCCAGAUGUGUGGAGGGAUGGAGAUGCUGCAAGAGAUAGACGGAAAACGCUGAGGAUGGGACCUGCAUGGUGCUGGUGCAAAUUCUAGACAUUCACAGCUGGAUUCAUGUUUGCAUGCAGAUGUGGAUAAAGUGCCGUCUUUUAGCUAACAGCUGGAUGCUGCCUGACCCACUCGGCACUUCCUGCAUUUUCUCUUUUAUUUCUGAUUCAAGUCAUCUGCAUUUUUUAUAUUCAAACUCUACUUUUAAUGGUUUGUGGAUUCCAAGUCCCUACUUCACUGCUCUGUUCAGAUACCACAAGACAUGAACUAAAGGAAAUACCUUUAUUAACUCUUCCAACCAAAACACACAGGUGCCUUGUGAAUUACAUGCCAGUUUUGCAGAUUCAUUGACGUUGUUUUGAAUGUUGCAGCAAUCUUCAGUAUUAUCCUCAAGCACUAAGCGUCAUUUGUAGGAGGUGGUAUCAAUGCCCCAAACCCAAACCUUUUAAAUACUUGGUCAAACACCAUUUUGCCACUGCCAGUAGUAGAUUAGUCCUUCAUCCAGAUUUCCUGUCUUGGGAAUUCAUAUGCAUUGAUUUUUAGCUGCUGUGGGAUAAAAACUAUACAUAAGAGGCUAUGAGAAUGCUAUUGCUUCCACCUGAUGGAUUGGAAUACAACAAGCACUGAUUAGGUCACACUGAAGUCCUGGGAGCAGUUCUAGCCGCCACGUCCUAAAAUGUAUGGUCCUCGGAAAGAAUGCAAGAGUACAUUUAUCAGAAUAAGAUCUGUGCUCCAAAUUUCAGCGACAUUACCAGCAGAGACUGAACAAACAAAAUCCGUGUUCUCUUGAGGGACUAUAGGAGUGUCCUGCUGGAGUGACUGGAGCAGGAUCCAGCAACGUGGAAUACUUACCUGGAGACGUGAAUCAUGGUGACUGAAGAAUCUGUAUUCAGAUCAUAAAGUGGAUAUUGAAUAAAGGCCAGCAUUAGGAAUGACCCCAUUGUUGUUAGAUCAUCAUAAGAAAAAAUUCCUUCACUGGAGCUCAUUUGGAAAGGAUUUCUGAACACAGCUCAUCUGGUACCUGACUGACUAAUUGCAACUUGGAAUAUCUCAGGUGAGAGGUUUGAAGGGAACAGCAGAAAUCAACAUCCCAUGAACAAACAAUUAAAACCAGAAGCUCCCUUUCUCUUCAUACCAUCUAAUGCAGUUCUCAUUACCUCUUCAUCGUUGUUAUGGAGGUCCAGACUUCCCUAAUUCAAAGCUAACCACUAUCAAAAUAUGAGGGUAGAAGAGCAAGACAAGAAGAAGGAGCUUCAAAGUGAAUCUAAGGAGAGAGAAUUUUGCACAGAGUGGCCCUUGCUUGGAACACACUGCCAGAGGAGGUGGUGGAAUCAUAUACAACCACCGCAGCUAAGAGAAAUUUAGAUAGACACUCAAGUAGGCAAGGUAUAAUUAUGGUUCCAAGGUGGGAAAUGAGAUUAGUGUAGGUGGGAAAAAAGUUUGACAUGGAUGUGAUGGGGUGAUGGGCCUGUUUCUUUGCUGAGCAAACUCUAUAUGACCAUCAGUAUCAAAGUUCAAGGAGGAAAACCAAGCUGCUCACGGCAAUUAGACUUCCUGAACCAUCUUACGAAUCCUCAGAAUCCAUGGCAGCCAACACUGGCUGGGUCCAGAGAAAUCAUCAAACAUCUUCAGUAUGAGAGCAGGAUGAAGUGAAGAGGCUUUGCACAGCCACACCAGGCAUUGGUCCAAUGGACUUCUACCGGUCCACAAGGAGCGGACUUACUGGUACCUGAGUCAUUUUACUGACAAAUGUGGUCCUGUGCUCAGAUACAGUGAAUGAAGAAACCAAAGUAAAUAUUCCUCAGCAGAUUUUUGAAAACUCAUCGAGAAUAUUUUAAAACCCCAGACCAGUUUUGCCUGAGAGGAAGGAUAACAUGUCAGUGACGGUCCAUUAUUACUUUUGGUACGCGCUGUGACACUUCAAACUCGUACCGUGAGUAAUAAUGCACAGUGGCUGACACUUCCACCGUAGAACCUUCAUCUCUAGGAAAAGCUAGACAGACCGUUGGGACUGUGACUGACAAAGAGUUCCUGCAGACUUUAACUGGUCAACAAACCCUGAACUCUUUGCUGAUUUGAGCUAAUUUACCUAACAGAACAAAUGGAAGGUCAAGGAUAAAUUUGAUUUCAAGUUCACACCUUCUUUGAUAAAGGAAAACAUCUUCAUGAAAUACAACACAACAAUGUGACAAAAGUUGAGGAUUGAAUAAAUACAUUUCCUCUUUGUUCUUAACCAUUUAUACAAUGAAUGUUGCACAUUAUCAAGCUGUGUUUUCUGCUUGGAGAACUAUACAAAUUAUUAUUGGACUAAUUUAUUACAAAGUAAUCAGUGUUAAUUCCUCACUUUAAUACAUUUUGUGAUUUAUUUGUAGAGCUUGUCUAAAAUUUUGCAAGCAGAUGAUUGUUAUUAUGUUUAUUUAAUCUGCAAAACAUUCUUCACAUUUUACCUCUCCUCAGAGUGCCAUCUGAGAACAUGCUGAAGGGAGAUGUUUUAAUUAAGUAAUGUGGGAAAAUCCGAAACAAAACAUGGACUCGUAUCAAGGCUUGAAGCUGGUGAGGUCGAAAGAAGAUUCUGUAAACACCAAAUUCAUAUGUACAGUGGAUUCAUAGGAGUCUGCACAUUGUGCUUCCUACUGCUAAGUUUUUCUCCAUAGAAAUCUCUUUCAAGUCAUAAGAUAGCUUUUGCUUUGAGAUUCAUACCUCUGAUAUUUCAGGUAACUUUGGAAAUCACUGCCUAAUC